rnacentral:rRNA from 1 species
GAUAAACGCUGGCGGCGUGCCUAAUACAUGCAAGUCGAGCGAACGGACGAGAAGCUUGCUUCUCUGAUGUUAGCGGCGGACGGGUGAGUAACACGUGGAUAACCUACCUAUAAGACUGGGAUAACUUCGGGAAACCGGAGCUAAUACCGGAUAAUAUUUUGAACCGCAUGGUUCAAAAGUGAAAGACGGUCUUGCUGUCACUUAUAGAUGGAUCCGCGCUGCAUUAGCUAGUUGGUAAGGUAACGGCUUACCAAGGCAACGAUGCAUAGCCGACCUGAGAGGGUGAUCGGCCACACUGGAACUGAGACACGGUCCAGACUCCUACGGGAGGCAGCAGUAGGGAAUCUUCCGCAAUGGGCGAAAGCCUGACGGAGCAACGCCGCGUGAGUGAUGAAGGUCUUCGGAUCGUAAAACUCUGUUAUUAGGGAAGAACAUAUGUGUAAGUAACUGUGCACAUCUUGACGGUACCUAAUCAGAAAGCCACGGCUAACUACGUGCCAGCAGCCGCGGUAAUACGUAGGUGGCAAGCGUUAUCCGGAAUUAUUGGGCGUAAAGCGCGCGUAGGCGGUUUUUUAAGUCUGAUGUGAAAGCCCACGGCUCAACCGUGGAGGGUCAUUGGAAACUGGAAAACUUGAGUGCAGAAGAGGAAAGUGGAAUUCCAUGUGUAGCGGUGAAAUGCGCAGAGAUAUGGAGGAACACCAGUGGCGAAGGCGACUUUCUGGUCUGUAACUGACGCUGAUGUGCGAAAGCGUGGGGAUCAAACAGGAUUAGAUACCCUGGUAGUCCACGCCGUAAACGAUGAGUGCUAAGUGUUAGGGGGUUUCCGCCCCUUAGUGCUGCAGCUAACGCAUUAAGCACUCCGCCUGGGGAGUACGACCGCAAGGUUGAAACUCAAAGGAAUUGACAGGGACCCGCACAAGCGGUGGAGCAUGUGGUUUAAUUCGAAGCAACGCGAAGAACCUUACCAAAUCUUGACAUCCUUUGACAACUCUAGAGAUAGAGCCUUCCCCUUCGGGGGACAAAGUGACAGGUGGUGCAUGGUUGUCGUCAGCUCGUGUCGUGAGAUGUUGGGUUAAGUCCCGCAACGAGCGCAACCCUUAAGCUUAGUUGCCAUCAUUAAGUUGGGCACUCUAAGUUGACUGCCGGUGACAAACCGGGGGAAGGUGGGGAUGACGUCAAAUCAUCAUGCCCCUUAUGAUUUGGGCUACACACGUGCUACAAUGGACAAUACAAAGGGCAGCGAAACCGCGAGGUCAAGCAAAUCCCAUAAAGUUGUUCUCAGUUCGGAUUGUAGUCUGCAACUCGACUACAUGAAGCUGGAAUCGCUAGUAAUCGUAGAUCAGCAUGCUACGGUGAAUACGUUCCCGGGUCU